rnacentral:rRNA from 2 species
CAACUUUUAGCAAUGGAUGUCUUGGGUCCCACAACGAUGAAGAACGCAGCGAAAUGCGAUACGUAAUACGAUACGCAAAACCUCGUGAAUUAUCAAAAUUUUGAACGCACAUUGCGCUCCUGAGUAAUCUCAGGAGCAUGCUUAUCUGAGUGUCUCUA